rnacentral:rRNA from 1 species
GAUCAUGGCUCAGGAUGAACGCUAGCUACAGGCUUAACACAUGCAAGUCGAGGGGCAGCAUUUUAGUUUGCUUGCAAACUAAAGAUGGCGACCGGCGCACGGGUGAGUAACACGCAUCCAACCUGCCGAUAACUCUGGGAUAGCCUUUCGAAAGAAAGAUUAAUACCGGAUGGCAUAGGAUUAUCGCAUGAUAAUCCUAUUAAAGAAUUUCGGUUAUCGAUGGGUAUGCGUU